CAAACCCACUGAGUGUAUUCUGGAGGGAAUGGGAAGGGAGAAGCUGCAGACAGCGGGUGCAGACAACUCUUCUGAGAAGUACUACUGCAUGUGGGAGCAGAGAAGUGGAGUCGUAGCUGGACAGGAAGAUUAGCCCUCUGCUAACAUUUGCUGCCAAUCCUCCUCUUUUUGCUGAAGAAGACUGGCCCUGAGCUAACAUCCAUGCCCAUCGUCUUCUACUUUAUAUGUGGGAUGCCUGCCACAGCAUGGCUUGCCAAGCGGUGCCAUGUCCACACCGGGGAUAGGAACUAGCGAACCCCGGGCCGCCAAAGCAGAACGUGUGAAUGUGUGCACUUAACCACUGCGCCACCAGACUGGCCCCUGAUGUCUCACUCUUAAAACAGGACGAAGGGGCAGAUAGGUGUGUAGCUUUGGUGAAAGAAAGGUGAGGGAUUUCCCAUCUGGUUGCUUGGAAGUCAAGGUUGUCUGGUAAGAGACAGGGAAGAGCAGAGGAAGGGAUGGAAGAGUUUCGAGAAGAGUUGAAAAGUAGGAAAUAUUGCAAAGAACAUAGUAGAACCACGAGGGAGUGUUGAGAGCUCACAUGGGGCUUGUGGUCAUGAAUUUUCAUUGCAAAUCUCCCACUUGGUGUAUAAUUUUCCCAGAUAACUUGUACCACCUAGCAGGUGACAGUGCAGAAGGGCUGGAGAAUUGGGUGCCUGGGUUAACCAGGGUUGGAGGGUUCAGUUUGCUAAGAGUAUGUGAACUCCAUAAAGUUAAACUUUAGAUGGGGACAUAAAUGUGCAGGGUGGACUUUGAGACCAUAAAAGCGAGGAUGAAUGUAAAACUGCAGUACCCGUGAUCUAGGUCAGCCCCUGCCUACUGAAAAACAGACGCCACUGCCUCCCACCCUCUCCUAGAGCCACUUCAUUGUAAAGUCAGGUAAAACAAAUACGCUUCACCUUUGUAUGUGCAAAUGAGAUCAAACAAAACAAAAAUCGAAAAGUCGGACAGUUGGACGGAAAAUACAUUUACUUAAAAUGACGAUCGAGGCAACAAAUGCUAAUGCCAGAGAAGUACAGGCUGUGGGUGCAGAAGACAGGGCUUGGUGAGGUCAGAGGACGCCACGGAGAGGGCGGGCAGGAGCCUGGCUUACAUGGCAGGUCAGUAAGAGGAAGAAAGAGGGAAAAUACAUUUCAAUUAAGAUACAAAUUAAGAAAAUGAAAUUAUGGAUAGUGUGUUUAGGAAAAAUUAGGAGACCAAUUGAAAUGAAAAGAAUGCUCUUAGAGAAGAGCUGUGAGAGAUAAGGCUGGCAAAGUUUAGAUGUCUCACACCCACACACACAUUCACAUACACCCUAUACACACACAACAUACACAAAGUACAACAUACACAGCGUACACCCCCCAUACACACAACGUAUACAGCAUACACACCACACACACAACACAGAUCAAACAUACCCCACUCACAAUACACAUGCACAAUACACACACACAACAUAUACAUAAAACACACAACGACGCACAUAAUCCACAAUACACACACCACACACUAUGUACAUAAAAUAAGAGUAAAUACUUAAUUCCUUGAUCCAAAACAAGUUAUAUUACGGACAAAAUUACAUUUGUUUGUUAUAUAACUUAAUUUAUUC
ensembl:lncRNA